GAGCCCUUAUCACUGAGCGGCCGCUCCUCCAGGACUGUGAUGCUGCUCCUGGGAAACUCAAUGAAGUCCCUCCCGCAGCCGUUCUGCAGGAGGUUGGCAAACAGGUCGCAACGUGGGGUCGACUGUGCCACCACCUCUGCAGAGCACCAUGCACAGAGGGGGCUGACGGCCAGGCACUGCUUGCAGGAGGUCACCCCUCGGGUAGCGCAGAUGUUACUCCCCCAGCUGCCAGCAGCGCAGAGCACCAGGAUGCUGAAAGCGACGCGGAGUUCCUCCAUCUCCUCCUCCGAACCCCGGCUACAGGGGUGUGGGACGGCCCCGCCGUGCGACUUGGAGAUGGUUUUGAG
rnacentral:lncRNA from 1 species